CGCGUUUCUCAUGCUCACCGUGUAGGAAGCAGUUUUAUCACGGACUGGCAUUGCAAUUUUCUGCUUCUUGCUCUUAUCGGAUGCCAUGGCUACCCAGCGGGCACACAGGGCAGAGACACCUGCACACCCCAACCGCCUGUGGAUCUGGGAGAAGCACGUGUACUUGGAUGAGUUUCGUCGAAGCUGGCUGCCCGUAGUCAUCAAGAGUAAUGAAAAAUUCCAGGUGAUCUUGCGCCAGGAAGAUGUCACCUUGGGGGAAGCUAUGUCCCCCAGUCAGCUGGUGCCUUACGAGCUGCCUUUAAUGUGGCAACUGUACCCCAAGGACAGGUACCGAAGCUGCGACUCCAUGUAUUGGCAGAUCCUGUACCAUAUCAAGGCAAGCACGGCUUUCCCCAAGGACCGAGGUUAGAAAGAUAGAAGAAGCCAUCAUCUAAGGUCUUAGCCAAACCCCUUGGCACCAGGAGCCCUCUGUGGUAGUCACUGACUGAAACCAGUUGAGAGGGCUAGCCACCUCACCUCAGGACCCAGUACUAACCCAGGCUGAAGAAAGCUGAGCCAGAAAGAAAGGGGAAUUCCCAGGGCUGGUCUGACCACUCGCUUGUCCCUCUCCUUCUCCGCCCUCAGUUUAGAGACGUGGAGGACAUGUUGCUUGAACUGAUAGACUCGGAGUCCAACGAUGAAUAACCCAGACCCGGUCCUGCAGCUCCUGUCUGCCUUGCCCAGGCCUGGCCCCACAGGGGAGAUGUUGGUACUUAUGUUCUGUCUGUUCGCUAGUCAUGUCCUUUUUCCUCUACACUGGGCUCCAAGAAGAAAACUCUGGCCAGACGCUGCCCCUUCCCAUGCUGCUGUUGCCUGCUCGGCUGCCUUGGUUGGUCCCUCAGCUCUGCUGACUCCCUGGCAAGGGGCUCCAGAGAAGAUCCCAGUUCUCCUCACCUCCUCUAGGUGCUCAGUGGUGUCUGUGCCUCUGAUGAUCUUAGCUGAUUGACUCUUCCGUCUUUCCCUUUGGCCUCACAAGACAACUAGUGUCUCUGACUUAUGAACUUGCCUUCUUCCUCACGGGUCCCUCAGCAGUACAUACACCAUGAGGGACAAGACCUCGUCAUUGGAAUCUGGCCAGGCCCCAGAUCAGCCAUCACUCAAGGUGUUGUGCCUGUACCCACCUGACCUGUGAAGCCCCACCUACCCAGCAAACAUAGGCUUUGAUUGCAGAGCGGUGUAAGACCUGAGAGCUCUCUUGCCCUUCCUUAGAACCUAGGUGCUUGCAGCCAGGGAUAUGCAAACCUGGGGCCUAUGGCCUCACUAGAACAAGAGGCCAGGCAGUGGGCCUGGUUCAGAUGGGCCCUCUGAUUGCCUGUGUGCAGGCUUCCUCUCUGGGUGUUCAGGUUCUGUAUUUAGUGUAAACACGUCCUGUCGCUGAUUAAAUAUUUCACUCACCUAAGUUGGGCCAAAUCGGCUUCCAUCCUUGACCGAGAUGCCAAUAAAUGAGGGAGAGAAGACUGCUCCGGGGUCUCCCAGAGAAGCCAGGGUCACCCAGGGAAGCCUUGGUCUCCUAGUAAGAAUGUUGAAAGGGAAUGUGUGGGAUUUUAUGUGGUUCUAUUUUAGAGAUACGGCUGGAUUUAAUAAAGCUUUGUAGAACUUUAAAA